UCAGUCCCACAAACCUGAAAUCACAACCCAAGCUGAAACCAAGAGUCAGACACCCAACUGAUUGAGCCACCCAGGCAUCCCUAAAGUCAGGUGCUUUUAAUAAUUUAAAAAUAAUACCUACAUGCCAGGACUGUGAAAAUUAAGCAAGACAUAGUAAAAGUACUUAGGUUGUAAAGGGACUUAAUACAUGGUUACUCCUCUCUCCAUUUGCUGCUCAAGCCCCGCUCCUUGGCUAAGGGAAGGCAAACAAGAAAUGUAAAGCCCUUUCCACAGGGAAGUGAAGCAGCUGAGACGUGUUAGAGGUGAGGAAUGCCAGAACAGGCUUUAUAUACCUCAUCACCCUCCCACCCUGCACAAACACCACCAGCAUUAAUCAUUCUGCUGUUUUGCUCUUCACUGGGCAUUUCUUUGAUUCAUAUUUUAGAGAAUACAAAUUCUCUGGGACAGGAAACACAUUAAGCAUUUUAAGUAUGUGAAUUGAAUGAAAUUCUUCAGUCCUAUCCCAAGAGAAACCUCAAUAAAAGCAAGGGAGCGAAAAGGGACCUGGUGGCAGGAAAGGGGGAGGAGCAGGGCAGGUACAGAAAGGAGACCUUGAGCUGGGGCCAAGGAACAUGCAGACCCAACAGCUGUGCCGAGGGAUAGCUGUUACAGGUGCAUUCUUAAGAUUCUAGGCUGUUCAUUGAGGGUGGUUAUCCCUAUCACCAUAGCCAAACAGCACACCCGGAGGUCCCCUGGGACCAUCCAGCACUGGGCCAGUGAAAGAGGUGGAGAAUCCAGCGCAUGCUUUCUUCAUAAUAACAAAGUGUUGGAAACAACCCAAAUGUCUCUCAAUAGAAGAUCAGAUAAACUGGUCAGAAAUACUAUCACUCAGCAUAAAAAGAAACAAACUACUGAUUUAUUCAACAACCCGAGUCUGGAAAAAAUUAUAUUGCGUAAAAGAAGCCAGAUGCAAAAGAGUACACGCUGUACCACUCAUGGAGUUCAAGAACUGAGGAAAGUAAACUAUGGGGAUUAAAAUCUGAGCAGUGUUUCCUUCUGAGAGUUAAUGGUGUGAUUCACAACCACCUCCUAAACUUUCCUGGUGUAAUCUGAAACCAGCCCGCAUAUGCAGAGGGCGGGGAGAGGCUGAAGAAAGAAGCAGGCCACCCCAGCGUGGAAUUCGAGUGUACCAUCCCUCCCCCUGAGCAUGGAACUUCUCUGACGAAAGCGUAUGGCAAAACGGAUGCUGUGUCACUUUUGAAGCAGGCUAAUAAAAGGUCACGCCGCUUCUGUCUUAUUCUUUGGAACAUUCAUGCUCAGAGCCCUGGGCUGCCAUGUAGUGAUGACCAAAACAUAUUCUUCAUCCGUGGCUCCUGGCUCACAGCUCCUAGGACCCUUGGAAUUUCCUGAGCAAUAAGAGCAGUGGGACAAUCUUUUGUUACAACAUUUGCUCUCUCGUCUUCAGUUCCCGAAAUCACUCCCGAGCCAUAAAGGUGGCAGAAGGGGAGGCAAUGGCGAGGAGGUCUGGUGAAAGGAAGUCAGUACAGAGCACUGCAGAGAGCAAGAUGGAGUCACUCGUGUCAAGCAGUGGCCUGUGUGGAGCAAUGGUGCAGGCCGCGCAGGGCAUUGCAGCUCAGACCAGAUACCUAGACGGGCCACAGCUGAGGACGCACCGGAACUGAUAACCAGUAGAAACAGAGGCGGUCUGCAAGGGCCCAACACUGACCAAAUCCCUGUUAAAAAAGAAGAUUUUUCCAGCAAACGGUCAGACUCUCUAGACACUGACUCCUCUAUGUCUGACCACUUAAAAAAGGCAGCAGCUGCCAAAGGCUCUGCCCAAUAGGUCUCGGAGAGAACCGAGAUCCUUCACGGCUUGAACACAAUGAGCAGUAAGUGCGGAGAGCUGACCUGGACCAGACAGAGGCCUUAUCUGAGGCCUUAUCUCAGGGGCGGCUCAGACUGACUUCACUUUUGGUUCAUUAAUUUCCAACCCCUGUUCUAUCUUGUUUGUUGUGUGACUUGCCUUGAGCCUUGCGUGACAUUUUUUUUUUUUUUUUUAAAGGAGGCUCCACACCCAUCACAGGGCUUCAACUCAUCUGGGAUCAAGAGUCAAACACUUGGGGCGCCUGGGUGGCUCGGUUGGUUGAGUGGCUGCCUUCAGCUCAGGACAUGAUCUCUGUGGGUCCUGGGAUCGAGCCUCUCAUUGGGCUCCCUGCUUAGUGGGGAGUCUGCUUCUCCUUCUCCCUCUGCUCCCUACCCCCCCACCUCUGCCACUUGCACACAAGCUUGCUUUCUUUCUCUCAGGUGAAUAAUGAAUGAAUAAAAUCUUAAAAGAGAGAGACUUAACCAAAUGAGCCACCCAGGUACCCCUCUUUGUGUUAAGAAAGAAGCCAAGUUAAACAUGUGGUGAGAUGUCCUUGGGUUUGGAAUCCUGACUCUGCUUUACAGUCAUGUUAACCUGCCUUUAUGACUGAACAAAACUGACAUGCGGAAAUGAUGCAGCGCAUAUGUGCUCAUGACAAGCGUUGGUGAUCAUGGCAACUUUCGGUUUUGGAAUUCUGGGCUCUGAUUUUACUGGCUGUGUGCCUUGGGCAGAUUAUUUUUAAUCUUUACCCCUCUGCUUUCUAAAAUAUUAGGAUAAUAAUGUAAACUGUAGUGCUGCUGCGGGAAUCCAAUGGAUUUAAUAUUAGGAAAGUCUCAAGACCAGUGCCUGGCACAUAGUAAGUCCUCAAAUGUUAAUUCUUCCUCCUUCUCCCAUCCCCUUCUUCUUCUCUUCUUCCUCCUCCUUCUUCUAGACUGGUGUGUGUCUCUGAGAUUGGGGCCUGUGUCCUGUACUUCUCCUCUGCCAAUGAUCUGGAGAAUCAGAGAAGAGAAAAGCCUUGCACCAGCCUCCUGGAAGGGAAGUCCCAGAGAUUCCUUCAUGCCCAAUAUGAGGACAUAUGGGAUAUGUAGGCAGAUAGGCCUGAGAUGACCUUCAAGUUCUCUUUGCCUGAGUUCAGGAAGACCCAGAUGCUCCCAGGAGCCCAUAUAAGAUGUAGAAGUAGGAGAAGAUGUGUGUGUUGGGUGAGGAAAGACCGAGUGGUAACUGUACCUAAGAGCCCUUUGGUCAGAAAGAGGAGAGGAGUUUGCAGCCAGGCAGAAAUGAGGAUAUUUCAGUUAAUGGCAGCCUGAGCCAACAGCAGCUGAAGACCAGGUUGGGACCCUCACAGGCACUGGGCACAGCGUGAUUGCUUAACCACAGGGAAGGGGUAGGUACGACACUGCAAUUCUGACACUAACUACCUGCAGUUAGCACAGACUUUACAAGAGGCCAGUCUCCCAACAAGACUACCCUCAUUUCAGAUGCCAUCUGCUACAUUGGGGGUCCCCGAGCCACCUAUGCUUCUGAUCAACUGGCUACAAAGCCAAGGGUUCCCACAACCCUAUGAGAUUUGAUAAUUCACUAGGAAGACUCACAGAACUGGGGAAAGUUCUAUACAUAAAAUUACAGUUUUAGGGGUCCCCUCACUGGCUCAGUGAUUUAGCACCUGCCUUCAGCCCAGGGUGUGACCCUGGAGUCCUGGGAUCGAGUCCCACAUCGGGCUCCCUGCAUGGAGCCUGCUUCUCCCUCUGCCUGUGUCUCUGCCUCUCUC